UCUUACUUUUUUUACUCAUCUCCUUAACCUUCCUCCUCACCUCGUCAUCAACGUCCAUCAAUCUCUUUAUCCCCCUCUCCACUUCCUCUGCUAGCACCAGAUCACCACUUUCAUUCCUAAAAUCCACUCUGAUCUCAACCGCUAAUCCCAACUCUUUAACUAAUUGGAAUGCAUUCAUCUGUUGCUCCGCAUAAAUUGGCCACGUGGCAAUCGGUACACCAUACCAAAGGCUCUCAAGUAUUGAAUUCCAGCCGCAGUGCGACACAAACCCCCCUAUCGCUUCAUUGGCCAAGAUUGUCACUUGCGGGACCCAUU
rnacentral:misc_RNA from 1 species